GUUCUUGGGCUGACUUUUAUGGCUUUUGUGCUAGCACUCUGAGGCUAUAAUCUAAACAUCUGAGGAAUGUGCACAGAAAUACGCCGCACAUGCGGCUGUGACAGAUAAUUGGCCAACCUCAGAACUUGGGAACGUGCUGCUGUGAGAACCUGAUUGCUCUGCUGAAAUGGAUCCAUAAAGCGAGCAGGCAGAUGGGCACCAGCUUCCAGAAGGAGCACACUGAGGUCUACGUUUCCAUCAGCAUUCGGCUUCUGGAUCUCAAGCAAAUGCUGAAAGCAAAGUUCCUUCUGAUGCUGGGGAUGAGAGCAGAUGGAAGCCAAGCUAUAGUUGAUACAGGACCUAUUUCUCAAUGACUCUUUCACUUGCAAACAAGGAGCCUUAGUGCCACUAAGAUUUGGGUACCAUGAUUCACUGAGGGCUGCCCAGGAUAAGCAGUGUCCAUGUCAUGUUUUCCAGGAUAUUCCUUCCCAGAACCACACAGCUCCUGCUCUGCUGUGCAGAAGUGCACCUCAGUCUCCAUACCUAACAAAUCGAAGGCUCUUCUUGUUUCACAGAGCAUCAGUCGACGUCCUGCCCUCGCUCUCUAAAUUUCUCCCAAGCCUUGCAAGCACCAGAAGUACGAGCGCCAGAUCCUCUCAUCUCCUUCCCUCCCUUGACCUCACCUCUGUGUCCCACACCUCUCCAGGCAGCCCAUGCACGCUCCUGAGGAAGAAUGUGGCCAAUAUACUGCCAAGUGCCGCUAAAUGGAAGGAGGCAGAGGAUAACAGAAAAUCAAAAAGACUGGAGGAAGAUUUCUUCCUGAUGCUGUAAUCUCAUGCUGCUGUUUAUCUCCACCUGUGACUUUGCUUAUUCCUUCGUCCCUCUAUAAAUCACUGCAGCUGGUGGUGCAUUCACCCAACCUUUCUGCCAGGAUGGUGUCAAAACUCUUCCCAUCAGACACCUGAACUGGUCAAUUCCUACUGCUAAACACCACUAUUUUGAAGAAGGAAAACUGAAGUGAAAGCAAAUUUCAAAGGUACUCAAGACUUGUGUGAUACGGCGCUGAGCUCUGUGCUCACACAAAGAGCUGUUGGUUUUAGGCAUGCUAAAUGAAACACAUUUUACAUCUGCAGCAGAGUAAGAAAAAGUCUCGUUUCUUUUGCCUGAACAAAAGGCAAAGCAUAUAGCAGCUGCUGUUCUUGUAGUAAAGAUUUCAAAACUGAAUGGCAGUGCUCUCUCACUCCUAUUCAUUUGACAUUCAGCUUUCAGAUUGUGAUGUUCACUGUCAUAUUUAUCACUUAACUAUGAUGGGCUGUUUGGGGUGACAGUUAUGGAUGGAAGCAGCCACAGUUCUCACCACCUUUCCAGAUCCAUUUUAAGUGGUUUCUGCUCCAUCAUCACUAAGAGCUGAUGCUGCUAUUCCCAUAGUUGGGAGAUUAGAAGCAAUGUAUGAAUUCAGGCCUUUCUCCUUCCUGUGGUUGCCCUAUGGUCAGGCAGAGGAGACUUUCCCACUCUUUCAACCACUGCUGGUGAAAUGAGCCCCACAGUACGUGAUCGAGAGAACUGACUUCGAGCUUUGAUAGUUAUAAAUAGUAGGCACUGUAAUUGUCUAGCAGUUCUCCUGCAAAGAAGAGGUAAUUGUGUGGAUGAAUAAAAUAUUGGCAUUAAAAAAACAUUUUAAGCUUAAUCUCAAAGUAGCUGAUGAAGUAUUUCUAUGGCAGACCUGUCAGCUCACGUGCUCUCAGUGGUAGCUUCUCAUGCUUGGUUGGCUCUUUUGUAAGAAGAGAAAAAGAAUUAAAAAGAAAAAAACAAAAAUGAAACACACCAGAAACACAUGCACAGUACAGAAUGCACACACAACGAAACAGCAAAAUAAUCCUGAAAAUCAAAUGUGUGCAAUUGGAGAAGGCCUUCUGUACUUCUCCAUGUUACCCCUCAUGGGGAAGUUCCCAGCCCUGCCACUCAGGCAGACCCAGUGGAGGAGCUUUUUUCUCUGGGUGCCCAUCCCCAGCCUCACUGUACCUGACAACUUCAUGGUUCAGCCUGUUUCUUCUCCAGGGGGCAGAGCCAUGCUGCCUUCCCCUUCUGCAGGGACGAAGCUUGGGCUUCCAUUACACUGUGCUCUUGGAGAGACCGUCAGCUCAAACUGAUCUACAGCCUACCUGUGGGAUAGCCUUCAGCUUCCAGGCAGAGCAAAGCAGCCAGAGCACACCUGGGAGGGGGAGGAUCCUGAAAACUGCUGCUUAUGGGGUGGCAUCAGAUUACGACCAGUUCCUAGGAUUUGGCUCAGAGAUACAGAGGAAAGCAGGGAGGUGGGCUGGCUCCUCCAUCCUGGACCAAAAGUUUGAUGCAGGGAUUGGGUCUCCUCCCACUGCAUCAAUGCAUAGGAUGAGGGGAGGAGGAAGGAAAAGUGACUGGCAUUUUGAGAUCACUGAUAACCUUCAUGAGGCAUUAGUUUUAUUUAAUACAGAGUGUCAUGUUGGGUCCAGUAUUUCAGGGACCGAUUUAAGAUUUAACAGCAAUUCACAACACUAACAUCAGCCAAAGCAUUUCUGUUUGCAUUUUAGUUCUCCAGCAGAAGGAUGACAGCACUGAAGAUUAAAGCUUUUUUUUUUACCCCUCCUUAAGAUCUCAGCAAAGUGCAGAUUUGAAACACAGAAAGAGGUUGACCUUCGUAUUAACCUGAAUCUCUUUUCCUGUUUCUUCUUGAAUAUAUUUUAUUCUCUUUAUGCACAGUGGGGCUCUUUUUUUCUUGUGUGAGGCUGUUGAAUGAAAUGCCAGAAAGAUGGAGUGUGCACUUUUACAUCAAAGAAAUGAUGAGACCAUAAAAACUCAUUUCCCUUGUGACUUCUUAAAUUGUUGCUAAGGAAUUGAAUGAGUCUGUUUGAAACAAUGUGUCCCUUUAAAUUCUGUUUUCUUAUUUGUCUUAAAACACAAAGCCACAGUUUCUUGUAGACCCUGAUUCAAAGGCCACUCACUGAAGUCAAUAAAGGUUUCUUAGUCACUGUGUUUAGAUGUAGGUCAGAUUUUUCAAGUAUUCCACUAUGUAGAACCCAGGCAGACUGAUUUCAAAAGUUCUGGCUAUUCACAGAAAGAAAGUAAAAGGUCUAGUUUGUUUUUGUUCAUUCAGGUGGUUAAAAACGUCCCCUUCAAAUGGGCCAGAAUUGAGUCAACUGUCAACUGCUGAGCAGAACAAAUCUGACAGGGGCAAGUAAAAUGAAGCAGUAGUUAAAUUCAGAAAUCCAAAGAAGUAAAAAUGUUGAUUUACUUUAGUUUUUCUCAUGCACAGUGGUGACGUGCAGUAGAAGCACAAACAAAGCCCACGGUUCAGACUGUUGGAGGGAAACCCUGCCUAUUUCUGUGUAACAGUUUUGGGCAAUCACUCUCGCUGCUGGGGUGAAUGGUUUGUUAGUACUAUAACCCAGUGAGUUGCUAGAAAUGGUCUUGAUUGGAGAGCAUUGUAAAGCAAUUAAGUUCUGACUAUUAACAAAGCUCCCACAGAGAGCAUUAAUUUUUGAAAGUAGACAAAGUCUGCGCUACGACUUUCUAGUGACUGUGUGGAAGUGUGACCAGAGUGAAAUAUGGAAACUGCUACAGUAAGUCUCAACUGUUGUAGAUAUUCCUUAUCAGUUUCCAGGAAAGGGUUUUAAAGUUCCAAUUUAGAAAAGCAUUUAAAUGUAUUCUGAAAUUUAUUUCAAUUUAAUUGGAUACAGGUUUAACAAAUUGCUAAGUUUUUGCAUAAUAAGUAGCAAUUUAAGUAUCUUCUUAUAGAGCUGGUUUGGAUUUCAUCUAAAUAUCCUUUUCUCGGAAUUGGAGCCUUAGUCAUCUGAACUGUAAUGGGAUUUUCUGGGUCUAAAAUCCAGAAAAUGCCACUUUGCUCUCAGACCCAAGUCAGUCAUCUUCAUCUAUGAGAUACCCAUAUUGUGUGCACAUGUUCCUUUCCAGAACUCCAGCCGCCUGAGCUCUUUAACUUACUGUUUGUUUCUCUCUGCAAAGGCGUAUGAUAUUUUAAGCAGGUAACUUAACAGUGGUUCAAAAUAGUGAUUUCUUGUGUUAGUCAGUGUAAGAAAAAUCAUAGAAUCAAUCAUAGAGAAAUGCCAUGCUGAAGAUGCUAAAACCCCAGAAUGGAGGUCUCCAUCUCUGAUCGUUCUCAGAGGUUGAAAUUGCAGUUCGUCAUCUUCCCAUCUUUUGUACCCAAUUUCUGGUUGCUCUGCUCUGUUUUAUGCCUUGAAAAGGACAUUUGCUUUAAUGGUCCCAUGCUGGGAUUUCAGAACGAUGGGGAAACAUUGCUACCAGUAAAAUAUGUGGAACUAUUUUCAAAACGUUGGCGUGAGCCAACAGGACCUAUCAAAGCCUUUGCAAAAGCAUAAAACCAACUUCUCAGAUUACAUUGUUUAUAAUUUCUCUUGGGUUAUUUCCCAAUAACACAGAAAACGUGUGACUGUUUUUGUAUCUGAAAGGAGUUUGGCCGAUGCUGAGGUGGGAGUACAGGAUCUUUACCAAACAAGGCUCCAUGUCGUGAUGGGCAGUCUUUAGGACUCUGAGUAACUGAAUGCUUGUAGCACUUCACUUUCUGAAGAUAGAUGAAGCGUCUUCUGAAUUACAUGUGGUUUUUUUAUGUUUUGUUGUCUUGUUUUUCUUCUUGUAGUGUAAUUCUGAACCACAUGAUCAAGCCAGGUGUUAUUCCAUGCUACUGCUUCUGAAAAUGCAGAUGCAGCAGAUGCAGGCAUACGGGUUCAGUGAAUCAGGAACAGAUAAGUGUCAACUUUCCUCUGUGGUUGUGGUUGCAAAGACCCUUGUGCUGAACGAUUAUUCUCUAGUGUUUAGAAAGGAACAGUUUGAUUAUAGCAGUACUUUGUUUAAAAAAAAUUCUUGAAAACUACACUGAAAGUGGAUAUUUUCUGCUAUUACUUAAAACUCAGUGUUGGUUGCAAAGCCAAAGAAAACAGGUCCCCAUGUUCAAUAGCCAUACCUAAUACACUGUUGUGUUAGAUACCACAAUCCUAAUUCCAUAAGAUGGUGUUCUUGGAAACAGCAGAAAAUCAGCAUGGAAUAGAAAAAAUUUCCUCCAUUGUAAAACCAGUCGUUUGCAUUUUUAACGUGCCACCUUUCUAGUUUUUCUUCUUCUAUUGGGAAGAAGUUCAUAACAAGUUCACUCAUUUUAAUCUAAGGAAAAUGAACAGACCUCCCAGAGUUGAAAACCCGCUGUACAAACAGCAAAAUUAUUCUGACUUCCAGGAGUAAUUUAAUUAGAAGGAUUCUUCAGAGUGGCUUUUUUUUUUUUUUUUUUUUCAUUAGAAAAUGUGGUGUUUUUCACGCCGUACAGCACAAAACCUUUCGCAUUUUUGUAAAGUGUAAUAAAAUAAUCACUGGGAAUUUCUGGAUCUUUCUCUAUAGGAGUUGCUACCCAUUUUUCUUUUUAAGCUAAUUUAAGGGACAGAGUAGCUCAAUAAUUUGUUUUUCUGCUUAAAAAGGUGACUUUGAAGAAGAGUGACAUGAUAAACCUUCCACAGUGAUUAUGGAAAAUAUUGUUUCUGCUAUUUAUGAAAUACACUGUGAUGCUCUUUUGAUUAAAAAUGAAGAUGAAAAUCUUUCAAAGCCUUUGAGACAAAAUUAUUUCAGCAAACAAAGAAUGAGAAGAGUAUCUGGUAGUGGUGUGGACUUCUGCAUGGUCUUGAAUAUGUGCUGCUCUAUGGAAGAACCAUUUCCAGAAGUGGCAUUUGUCCCCACAGACUUUUUAUGUCCAGGUGUUUCACUUAUCUGUAGUUCCACUUAUGUUUUCUUUUCUUUUCUUUCAACUAAUGUCCAGGACAAGUUAAAGUGAAUCCUACAUUCACUGGCUGACUAGGUGCUAAUUGCUAACAUCAGUUCUGAACCUGAGACAGAUAUUAGCUCCAUGUGCAAUUAGCACACUGAUGUACAGAGGAACUGAGAUCCCAAGAUGAAAACCAGAAGAAUGAGGUGCUGUACUGUCAUUUUGGAAGACAGUACCCCGGUUUCACUACUUGUAGUUACAGAACAUCAUUAGCUUUUGAAAAUGAACAGGAAAAUCUGCUAUUAGUGUUCCUUCCUGCUGUUAUGCAGCAUGAGGGGUUCUCAGUGUCUAUGCUUGUACUUUGUUGCUCUUGUUGAAACAUCCCUUUCUUGAAGAGAUCAUUUAGGACUGGGAAGACCAGAGACUCUGGGAAUGAUAUUCUAACAGAGUUAGAAAAUGCCAGAAUGUUACUGACCUCAAUGUGGAUUACAUUUCUGAAGUAGUUUGGGACAUUCUCUUGCCACCUGUAGUUGUAUAGUUUGUAUUUCAGAAUUAGGGAGGUUAACAGUAAAGGAGCGAUACAAUUCAUCUAAAGAGUGAUGUAGAGAAUUGUAAGGAAAUUACAACUUUUGUUGAGUUCUUUACCGACAUUUAUUGACUUCAUUUCUGCUUAACGCUACAGCUGACACCAAGCCCAGCCCUUUGUUUGCAGGACAGUAGAUUUAAGUGCUCACUAAAACAAGAAGUCUGUGGAAUAAUUAAAUAAUGAGUAUUUUUAACAAGUGUCCUUUGAAAACAUCUCAAGGUAAUGUUGAAAGAAAAUAAAACAAAAAAGCAAACAAUAGGAAGAACUGAAAAUCAUUUGCAUAGAAAUGAUCACAUUCCAUCAUGAUGUCCUAAUUUGUGCCUAUGUUUUAGGAUGUUUAUGGUGAUUCCAGGGCUGAUUACCAUAUUAAUGUCAUGAAAAUAAUAAAAAUGUACUGAUUUAGUGCAUUACUCCCUUAAACCAGUCAUAAGAAAAGAUUUACCUUAGUUAUUCUGUGGUAAAAGUUAUAUUACUCAUUUUCUUCAUCUUCAGUGCAUGUGGUAACACAGAAAUAUCACUUUGCAAAGUGCUUUAUAUCAAGGAAAUUCCAGACCACAACAAAGGAGUGCAUGUUAAAAUCAUGAGAAAUGUAGUUUGAGGUGAUUCAUGAAAGAAAUAAUCAGUGUUUAUGAAUGCUAAAAUGUGUUACUCAACUAUGCGCCAGUAAAUUAUGCCUAUGCGUAAAAAGGGAGCAGGCUUAACACUGUGACUAGGAAAGCUUUACUGUAGUCAGAUUUGCUACUAUUGGACUGAAAAAAAAAAAUAGUAAGGGAAAGAGAAGUUAAAUAAUAAACUUAAUUUUGCUUUGGAAUCAACUACUUCUCAGUAAGAUGGUGAAACUGAAAAUGGCUUUAGGAGCACAGAUGUGAGAGAUGAUAGGGACCAGUCAGAGGUCUAGAAAGCACGGGCUCUGAAGAAAGACUUUAUGAACUGGGAUUCUUUUAGAUUAAAAAAAGAGAAGGCAAGGGCUAGGUGACUUCACUUUCAGUUUUAUAUUUUUAUGGUAAUAAAAGGAAUUGAAAGAGAGUCACUGCACCCAAAGUCAAAAGCCUUUCAGACAAUGAAAAUUAUUCCUUUGUAAAAGUUGAACCAUCACCCAUCCUACAGACUUAUGUAAAGAAACAAGGAGACAUCAGUGUCCUUUCACUGCCAGAACGGGCAGGGAAGCAUCUCACAUGGGUUGGCAGGACUUUGUUUAUAUGCAGGAAAGGGGAGUGCUGACUCUCUUGGAAGAAUCUGCCAUUGUAUUAUUUUAUUUAUAAAUAUUUAGCUAAUAGAUCAGCUGUUUGGCAAUACUGGAUAUAUACCAUUGGAAAUGGUAUUAAGCAAGCAAAUAAAUAACUGGUUUUAAACUGUGGGUGGUAAACGCGUUUACAAAAACCUUCACAAGGAGCACCUGGCAACCUCAGCAGGUCCUGUCAGUGUAACUUGCUCGUGAAACACCCAAUCAAUCAUGCACAUGAGCUACAUGCCAUAUGGUCAUAUGCUUUUCACUAGGAUGAUAAAUGAUAUUCUAGGUUAUGAAAGCCAUCUUUAUAAAAUGGAAACAACUCCUGCAAACAAUCAAACUGAUGGAGGAAAAUGAAGUGAUACAAACUAACUGGAAAAUUCACUGAUCUCCAAAGAGUUCACAAUAAUUUACACAAGUUGUUCUUAUACUUUGUUUACAGUUGUACAGAGAGAGACCUUUUCUUCUCAGGGGCCAGAAGGGGUAUUGCAUACACGAUGUGAGAAUGGACAGGCAGAGAAGAGAGAAGAUGGAUGGAAGAGUGGAUGCAUUACAAAGGCUGUUCAAGGUUUGGAAAGUAAAGGAAAGUAAAGAGAAUCAUUUACUUUGAUAUCCAGCAUAAGCUGAAAUGAAUAACGUUCAUUUCUUGAGGAAAAUAUGGUGCAUUUGAAAACCAGUGUUCAAAUGAGCAAUAAUCCAGUCUGGCUUCCUUUGUGUUAUCCAAAGCAGCAGCGUCUUCAGCUUGAGAUAAGGACCUAUCCCCUUGCUAUCCAGCAGUACAUAAUCAGCUCUUAUGACUAAAAUAUGUGAAAACGGAGAAGGAUUCUCUGGUCUGAUUCUUGAACCCAAAAGGCUGAUCAGGAAAGACACAAGCAAGAGGUCACAACAUUGAGAACUACUCUGGAGUGAACCAGCGCUGAACUACACUGUGCUUUAAUGACUUUUAAGGUUUCCAGGUCAACAUGGAAGAUAAAGAGAAGACAGGUCAAAUUCUGAAAAUCGUGGAAGAAAAGUAGUUAAGCUGACAAAAAUGAGAAAGGAUGUGAACACAUAAGGUCAGAAUGAAAACCUAAGUUAAAACUUAAUAACUUGUCUUGCGUCAUAGUAGCUCUUCGGUCAAUAAAUUAUCCAGACAAAGUUUAUUACAAAUUAUUCUUUUCAGUGCAAUUAGACAUUUGAAAUAUUUGAACAGAUGGGAAGAGUUUCAGCUCAAAUGAUGAUUCUUCUCACUUUGCUUUCCGGGAAAUGAUAAAACAUUCUUCCCAUAGCCUGGAAAAAAAGAGGGAUUGAGAGAACACACAGAAGCAUAAAAUACAGUGAACUGAAUUAUGCAGCCAUGUAAUAAAAAAAUGUUGUGAAACAAGAAUACUCUGCUUCCACAGUGUUUCAGUGGCAUUCUUUGAACCUUUCUAUUCUUAGACAUUCUUGUAGCCUGAAGAUAUUCGUCAUCGUGGCAUAACUAAAUGAUUUGUUUUUAUUGGUACAAUCAAUCCACAUUAUUACCUUUGACUACAUGGUUCUCUAUCUUGAUUCUGACAUACGGCUAAUAACUUUUAUGAUGAAAUCACAGAAGUGCUCCAUGGGAUGUAAUUGAAAAUUGUGCUCUGUAGUUUUGUUUUGAACUUCUUUUAAUGUUUAGUAUAGCCAUGUGCAACCUUGAUGGAAGUAAACUGUGAUACAUGGAAUUAAUUUUAACAGGAUAGAUGUAUGCCUCAUCUUGUAAUGAUGGUAAGCAGUUGCAGUUACCACAGCUGGAAGGGGCACCUCUGACACUGAAGCUCCACUGCCAUUCUCUGAUUUGAGCUUUUGAAAUCACACUUUUGGAAAACAUAGAGAAGUAAAGCAUUAAUACAAAUGAAUUUGGAGAGUAAAAAGAGUCAAAUCCAAGGAACAAGCCAUUGUGAUGUGGCGAAAUCCUUGUGGAAAACAGCGGUCUGCUGAUAUGUACCACUAUAGAAGUUAUUACUAUUUCCAGCACAGAUCUGUCCCAUUUGAACUGAAUGCAAAUAUUAUCAUGCCACUUGUGACUCAUUCUGUGCUUCAGCAUUUUUAAAUGUUAUUCUGCUUUUCUUGUGCUAUUUCGUUAUACUUACCAUCAUAUAUGUGCCCUUUUUUUCCUGCUUUUUAUGAUUUUCUUUUAGAUUUUCAGAUUGUUAAGCUGUUCUUGAUGCAAUCAUGUUAAUUUUUGAUGUACUUCUAAUCUUUCCUCCAUGUUAGGAUAAUUUGCUGUUGUGCCUUUAUCUUGUGUGUUUCUUUUUCCUUAUCUCUUCUCAGAUACUUGCGUUUCCCUGAGCCAUUUGAAGUCCAUUACCCUUAUUUUGUUAUUUGCAAUUUAAAGGAAGAGUGGAAGACUUAUCAUUUUUAUGAUCUCUUUCACUUGAAUUAACUUCCACUUUAAGAUUCUCAACCAUUUCCUUCAAAAGAAUUUGAAUUAAAUCUAAAAUAGCUACUUUCUGUGUAAUUUCCUCCACUUCAUGAAAGAAAAAACAGUCCCUGACACAUUCAGAGAAUUGAAUAGACAAUCUGUGUCCUGCUUUCUCAGCAGCUCCCGGUUAUACUACCAUCUCACCACUAGGUCCUGCCAUUUAGGUAUUUCUAGUUUCUGUCCCUUGGAUGUUUCCAAUAGUCGCUAUAUUGAAAAUCUUUGGCUUAAACCCAUCUUUAAGAGCAUUUAUUUCUUUUUCUCUCACAUAAUUUAACUGUUGUUCAGCAAAUCUUUCUGACACUUUUUUCCUUUUCAAGCCACAGCACGUGACUUCUCCUAUGCUUGUUCUUCUAGAUCGUGCUAUGCUAUUCUCUAACAGUGUUCAAGUAUUGCUGUUUUGCCACAUAGCUGUACCACUGUUUGGACCAUGCUGGUGUACCAAUACCAUAAUAUCUAGCUACUUAGAUCUCAUCCUGCAGUGUAUGUUGUCCUGUUUUUCAAACGCUUGAUGUACUACUUCAUGUUCUCCCUUUCUUCUUGAUAUGCUUGCCCACGUUCUGUGCAGCCAGACAUCACCUCUGGCAUGGUCUGUCACUGUUUCAAGCUGCAGAUAUGGAAUGUAUUACUUUAUAUCUUCAGGAAAAUUAAUGUCUUAAGC
rnacentral:lncRNA from 1 species